rnacentral:rRNA from 1 species
UACGGGGGGAGCAAGCGUUGUUCGGAAUCACUGGGCGUAAAGGGCGUGUAGGCGGUUCGGUAAGUGGGAUGUGAAAUCCCCGGGCUCACCCCGGGACCUGCAUCCCAAACUGCUGAGCUUGAGUACAGGAGAGGGUGGGGGAAUUCCAGGUGUAGCGGUGAAAUGCGUAGAUAUCUGGAGGAACACCUGUGGCGAAAGCGGUUCUCUGGGACGGUACUGACGCUGAGACGCGAAAGCGUGGGGAGCGAACAGG